GCGCCAGUAGCUCAGUCGGUUAGAGCACGGCCCUUAUAAGGCCGGGGUCGAUGGUUCAAGUCCAUCCUGGCGCACCA
rnacentral:tRNA from 1 species